CUACGGGAUGCAGCAGUGAGGAAUAUUGCACAAUGGGGGGAACCCUGAUGCAGCAACGCCGCGUGGAGGAUGACGCAUUUCGGUGUGUAAACUCCUUUUAUAUGUCAAGAAAAUGACGGUAGCAUAUGAAUAAGCACCGGCUAACUCCGUGCCAGCAGCCGCGGUAAUACGGAGGGUGCAAGCGUUACUCGGAAUCACUGGGCGUAAAAGACGCGUAGGCGGGUUGGAAAGUCAGGUGUGAAAUCCUACAGCUUAACUGUAGAACUGCACUUGAAACUUCUAAUCUAGAGUAUGGGAGGGGGAGAUGGGAUUAGUGGUGUAGGGGUAAAAUCCGUAGAUAUCACUAGGAAUACCUAAAGCGAAGGCGAUCUCCUGGAACAUUACUGACGCUAAGGCGUGAAAGCGUGGGGAGCAAACAGGAUUAGAUACCCGCGUAGUC
rnacentral:rRNA from 1 species